UACGUAGGGGGCGAGCGUUGUCCGGAAUUACUGGGCGUAAAGGGUGCGUAGGCGGCCUUUUAAGUCAGAUGUGAAAGGCUGCGGCUUAACCGCAGGACUGCAUUUGAAACUGGAAGGCUUGAGUGUCGGAGAGGGUAGUGGAAUUCCCAGUGUAGCGGUGAAAUGCGUAGAUAUUGGGAGGAACACCAGUGGCGAAGGCGACUACCUGGACGAUAACUGACGCUGAGGCACGAAAGCUAGGGGAGCAAACAGGAUUAGAUACC
rnacentral:rRNA from 1 species